GACAGAGGCCUCAAGCGUUAGGCGGAAUCACUGGGCUUAAAGCGUGUGUAGGCGGAUCGUUAAGUGCCUUGUGAAAUCCCACGGCUUAACUGUGGAACGGCUGGGCAUACUGGCGGUCUUGAGCCAUCUAGGGGCGACUGGAACAAACGGUGGAGCGGUGAAAUGCGUAGAUAUCGAGAGGAACACCAGUGGCGAAGGCGGGUCCCUGGACAACACCUGACACUGAGGCACGAAAGCUAGGGGAGCAAACAGG
rnacentral:rRNA from 1 species